rnacentral:rRNA from 1 species
UACGGAGGGUGCAAGCGUUAAUCGGAAUUACUGGGCGUAAAGCGUGCGUAGGUGGUUCGUUAAGUCCGUUGUGAAAGCCCCGAGCUCAACUUGGGAAUUGCAGUGGAUACUGGCGAGCUGGAGUGCGGUAGAGGAAGGUGGAAUUCCCGGUGUAGCGGUGAAAUGCGUAGAGAUCGGGAGGAACACCAGUGGCGAAGGCGGCUUCCUGGUCUGCGACUGACGCUGUGGCGCGAAAGCUAGGGGAGCAAACGGG